CUAGUUCCGUCCGCCGCCGCCUCACUCCUCCUCUCCUCAGGAUCCUCCCCAAUGAACGCACCCUUAUUCCCUCCUCGUUUUGCAACCCAGCCAACCAGUGCUCCCGAGGCGAUCCAUCCAUCCACCAAAGCUUGCGUAGCCCCCUUUGCCUCCCGCCCGUGAGUCCAGCCCUGCAGCCCUCGUCCCUGACCACGAGGUCGUGCAACCCGCGUCUCCCCCACCGGCGAGCAUCCUCAGUGCCCUAUCAGACCCGAUGCCUCCUCCUCAAGCAUCCUUGCGCUGACGGAGACCGGCGCCGCCGUCGGAGACCAGGAGCCCCCGACUCGACCUCGAGCUGCCGCACAGACCCGUUCGACGGCCGUAGGCACCCGCGUCUCCUCCUCCCUCUCGUGUCAGGUGCAUGCACGAGCUCGACCACGGGCCCCAGGUCACGCCGGUGCCCUUGGCUCGUCAUCUCCCUCAAGCACGGUCUCUCUCUCACCCGUUCUCUCCCCUCUUCUUACAAGAACCCGUGUAGCCAUGGCCAUGGAGCCCCGCCAUCGGUGGUCUCCUCCUUGUCGGACCUGGACCUGCAGUGACCUCGUGUUCCAUUCUGGGUGGAAUUACUCGCCUUCGUCGCUGCAGAGGUAGAGCCGUCGCGCAUCCAGGCCGCCUCCUCCUCUUGGUCGGGAGGGAGACGACGCCCGCCGUCGGCAUUGACCGUGAGCACCAGCGGCGCGUGGGCCAGCCCCGACAACCAUGCCACUAUGGCCCAGCAGCGUGACCGUGCCGACCCAGUGCCCCACACGGCCCGUCUCUAGCACCCAAGGCGGCCAAGCAAGCCCAUGAGUUCCUAACCUCUUCGGAGUGUGAUGAUUCGUUCGACUACGUUUGUUCGUCUACUAUAUGGAUUCGUCUUCUUCCAAGUGGGAUCACGGGAAAGCUAGUCAUUUCCCUAGACAACAUUACUAUCAUUGCCAUGCUAGUUGUCUCGUUUCUAUCGCUAUGUCUUGCUGCCUACCACCUCUUAUGUUAAUG